AGAGUUUGAUCCUGGCUCAGGAUGAACGCUAGCUACAGGCUUAACACAUGCAAGUCGAGGGGCAGCAUGGUCUUAGCUUGCUAAGGCCGAUGGCGACCGGCGCACGGGUGAGUAACACGUAUCCAACCUGCCGUCUACUCUUGGACAGCCUUCUGAAAGGAAGAUUAAUACAAGAUGGCAUCAUGAGUCCGCAUGUUCACAUGAUUAAAGGUAUUCCGGUAGACGAUGGGGAUGCGUUCCAUUGGAUAGUAGGCGGGGUAACGGCCCACCUAGUCUUCGAUGGAUAGGGGUUCUGAGAGGAAGGUCCCCCACAUUGGAACUGAGACACGGUCCAAACUCCUACGGGAGGCAGCAGUGAGGAAUAUUGGUCAAUGGGCGAGAGCCUGAACCAGCCAAGUAGCGUGAAGGAUGACUGCCCUAUGGGUUGUAAACUUCUUUUAUAAAGGAAUAAAGUCGGGUAUGGAUACCCGUUUGCAUGUACUUUAUGAAUAAGGAUCGGCUAACUCCGUGCCAGCAGCCGCGGUAAUACGGAGGAUCCGAGCGUUAUCCGGAUUUAUUGGGUUUAAAGGGAGCGUAGAUGGAUGUUUAAGUCAGUUGUGAAAGUUUGCGGCUCAACCGUAAAAUUGCAGUUGAUACUGGAUAUCUUGAGUGCAGUUGAGGCAGGCGGAAUUCGUGGUGUAGCGGUGAAAUGCUUAGAUAUCACGAAGAACUCCGAUUGCGAAGGCAGCCUGCUAAGCUGCAACUGACAUUGAGGCUCGAAAGUGUGGGUAUCAAACAGGAUUAGAUACCCUGGUAGUCCACACGGCAAACGAUGAAUACUCGCUGUUUGCGAUAUACUGCAAGCGGCCAAGCGAAAGCGUUAAGUAUUCCACCUGGGGAGUACGCCGGCAACGGUGAAACUCAAAGGAAUUGACGGGGGCCCGCACAAGCGGAGGAACAUGUGGUUUAAUUCGAUGAUACGCGAGGAACCUUACCCGGGCUUAAAUUGCAGAUGAAUUACGGUGAAAGCCGUAAGCCGCAAGGCAUCUGUGAAGGUGCUGCAUGGUUGUCGUCAGCUCGUGCCGUGAGGUGUCGGCUUAAGUGCCAUAACGAGCGCAACCCUUGUUGUCAGUUACUAACAGGUUCUGCUGAGGACUCUGACAAGACUGCCAUCGUAAGAUGUGAGGAAGGUGGGGAUGACGUCAAAUCAGCACGGCCCUUACGUCCGGGGCUACACACGUGUUACAAUGGGGGGUACAGAGGGCCGCUACCACGCGAGUGGAUGCCAAUCCCAAAAACCUCUCUCAGUUCGGACUGGAGUCUGCAACCCGACUCCACGAAGCUGGAUUCGCUAGUAAUCGCGCAUCAGCCACGGCGCGGUGAAUACGUUCCCGGGCCUUGUACACACCGCCCGUCAAGCCAUGGGAGCCGGGGGUACCUGAAGUGCGUAACCGCGAGGAGCGCCCUAGGGUAAAACUGGUGACUGGGGCUAAGUCGUAACAAGGUAACCGUA
rnacentral:rRNA from 1 species